rnacentral:rRNA from 1 species
UGCUUGAGUACAGUGGCGCACGGGUGCGUAACACGUGGGUAAUCUGCCCUGAAGCCCGGAAUAACUCCCCGAAAGGGGUGCUAAUGCCGGAUGAGACCACGGGAACUUCGGUUCCUGGGGGAAAAGGUGGCCUCUGUAUACAAGCUAUCACUUCAGGAUGAGCCCGCGGCCCAUCAGCUAGUUGGCGGGGUAAUGGCCCACCAAGGCUACGACGGGUAGCUGGUCUGAGAGGACGAUCAGCCACACUGGAACUGAGACACGGUCCAGACUCCUACGGGAGGCAGCAGUGGGGAAUCUUGCGCAAUGGGCGAAAGCCUGACGCAGCAACGCCGCGUGUGUGAUGAAGGUCUUCGGAUCGUAAAGCACUGUCGGGAGGGACGAAUAAGGGCCGGGUGAACAAUCCGGUCUGACGACUGUACCUCCAAAGGAAGCACCGGCUAACUCUGUGCCAGCAGCCGCGGUAAUACAGAGGGUGCUAGCGUUGUUCGGAAUUAUUGGGCGUAAAGCGCGUGUAGGCGGCCAACCAAGUCGGAUGUGAAAGCCCUCGGCUUAACCGAGGAAGUGCGUUCGAUACUAGCUGGCUUGAGUACCGGAGAGGGUGGUGGAAUUCCCGGUGUAGAGGUGAAAUUCGUAGAUAUCGGAAGGAACACCAGUGG